rnacentral:rRNA from 1 species
AGAGUUUGAUCCUGGCUCAGGAUGAACGCUAGCGGCAGGCUUAACACAUGCAAGUCGAGGGGUAUAGGUUUUCGGACCUAGAGACCGGCGCACGGGUGCGUAACGCGUAUGCAAUCUACCUUUUACAGAGGGAUAGCCCAGAGAAAUUUGGAUUAAUACCUCAUAGUAUAGCUGAACCGCAUGGUUCUACUAUUAAAGUCACAACGGUAAAAGAUGAGCAUGCGUCCCAUUAGCUUGUUGGUAAGGUAACGGCUUACCAAGGCUACGAUGGGUAGGGGUCCUGAGAGGGAGAUCCCCCACACUGGUACUGAGACACGGACCAGACUCCUACGGGAGGCAGCAGUGAGGAAUAUUGGUCAAUGGACGCAAGUCUGAACCAGCCAUGCCGCGUGCAGGAUGACGGUCCUAUGGAUUGUAAACUGCUUUUGCACAGGAAGAAACAACUCUACGUGUAGAGUCUUGACGGUACUGUGAGAAUAAGGAUCGGCUAACUCCGUGCCAGCAGCCGCGGUAAUACGGAGGAUCCAAGCGUUAUCCGGAAUCAUUGGGUUUAAAGGGUCCGUAGGCGGUUUAGUAAGUCAGUGGUGAAAGCCCAUCGCUCAACGGUGGAACGGCCAUUGAUACUGCUAGACUUGAAUUAUUAGGAAGUAACUAGAAUAUGUAGUGUAGCGGUGAAAUGCUUAGAGAUUACAUGGAAUACCAAUUGCGAAGGCAGGUUACUACUAAUGGAUUGACGCUGAUGGACGAAAGCGUGGGUAGCGAACAGGAUUAGAUACCCUGGUAGUCCACGCCGUAAACGAUGGAUACUAGCUGUUGGAAGCAAUUUCAGUGGCUAAGCGAAAGUGAUAAGUAUCCCACCUGGGGAGUACGUUCGCAAGAAUGAAACUCAAAGGAAUUGACGGGGGCCCGCACAAGCGGUGGAGCAUGUGGUUUAAUUCGAUGAUACGCGAGGAACCUUACCAAGGCUUAAAUGUAGAUUGACCGGUUUGGAAACAGACUUUUCGCAAGACAAUUUACAAGGUGCUGCAUGGUUGUCGUCAGCUCGUGCCGUGAGGUGUCAGGUUAAGUCCUAUAACGAGCGCAACCCCUGUUGUUAGUUGCCAGCGAGUCAUGUCGGGAACUCUAACAAGACUGCCAGUGUAAACUGUGAGGAAGGUGGGGAUGACGUCAAAUCAUCACGGCCCUUACGCCUUGGGCUACACACGUGCUACAAUGGCCGGUACAGAGAGCAGCCACUGGGCGACCAGGAGCGAAUCUAUAAAACCGGUCACAGUUCGGAUCGGAGUCUGCAACUCGACUCCGUGAAGCUGGAAUCGCUAGUAAUCGGAUAUCAGCCAUGAUCCGGUGAAUACGUUCCCGGGCCUUGUACACACCGCCCGUCAAGCCAUGGAAGCUGGGGGUGCCUGAAGUCGGUGACCGCAAGGAGCUGCAUAGGGCAAAACUGGUAACUAGGGCUAAGUCGUAACAAGGUA